UCCGGUUUGACACCGGCAGUCUCUCAUGAGUCCCCGACAUUACUCGCUGGCAACAUAAGAUAGGGGUUGCGCUCGUUGCGGGACUUAACCCAACACCUCACGGCACGAGCUGACGACAACCAUGCACCACCUGUGUACGGCCCCUAAGGACACCAUAUCUCUAUGGCUUUUCCGUACAUUUCAAGCCUUGGUAAGGUGGGGAUGACGUGGAACGGUUGGUU
rnacentral:misc_RNA from 1 species